rnacentral:rRNA from 1 species
AGAGUUUGAUCAUGGCUCAGAUUGAACGCUGGCGGCAGGCCUAACACAUGCAAGUCGAACGGUAACAGGAAUCAGCUUGCUGAUUCGCUGACGAGUGGCGGACGGGUGAGUAAUGUCUGGGAAACUGCCUGAUGGAGGGGGAUAACUACUGGAAACGGUAGCUAAUACCGCAUAACGUCGCAAGACCAAAGAGGGGGACCUUCGGGCCUCUUGCCAUCAGAUGUGCCCAGAUGGGAUUAGCUAGUAGGUGGGGUAACGGCUCACCUAGGCGACGAUCCCUAGCUGGUCUGAGAGGAUGACCAGCCACACUGGAACUGAGACACGGUCCAGACUCCUACGGGAGGCAGCAGUGGGGAAUAUUGCACAAUGGGCGCAAGCCUGAUGCAGCCAUGCCGCGUGUAUGAAGAAGGCCUUCGGGUUGUAAAGUACUUUCAGCGGGGAGGAAGGGAGUAAAGUUAAUACCUUUGCUCAUUGACGUUACCCGCAGAAGAAGCACCGGCUAACUCCGUGCCAGCAGCCGCGGUAAUACGGAGGGUGCAAGCGUUAAUCGGAAUUACUGGGCGUAAAGCGCACGCAGGCGGUUUGUUAAGUCAGAUGUGAAAUCCCCGGGCUCAACCUGGGAACUGCAUCUGAUACUGGCAAGCUUGAGUCUCGUAGAGGGGGGUAGAAUUCCAGGUGUAGCGGUGAAAUGCGUAGAGAUCUGGAGGAAUACCGGUGGCGAAGGCGGCCCCCUGGACGAAGACUGACGCUCAGGUGCGAAAGCGUGGGGAGCAAACAGGAUUAGAUACCCUGGUAGUCCACGCCGUAAACGAUGUCGACUUGGAGGUUGUGCCCUUGAGGCGUGGCUUCCGGAGCUAACGCGUUAAGUCGACCGCCUGGGGAGUACGGCCGCAAGGUUAAAACUCAAAUGAAUUGACGGGGGCCCGCACAAGCGGUGGAGCAUGUGGUUUAAUUCGAUGCAACGCGAAGAACCUUACCUGGUCUUGACAUCCACGGAAGUUUUCAGAGAUGAGAAUGUGCCUUCGGGAACCGUGAGACAGGUGCUGCAUGGCUGUCGUCAGCUCGUGUUGUGAAAUGUUGGGUUAAGUCCCGCAACGAGCGCAACCCUUAUCCUUUGUUGCCAGCGGUCCGGCCGGGAACUCAAAGGAGACUGCCAGUGAUAAACUGGAGGAAGGUGGGGAUGACGUCAAGUCAUCAUGGCCCUUACGACCAGGGCUACACACGUGCUACAAUGGCGCAUACAAAGAGAAGCGACCUCGCGAGAGCAAGCGGACCUCAUAAAGUGCGUCGUAGUCCGGAUUGGAGUCUGCAACUCGACUCCAUGAAGUCGGAAUCGCUAGUAAUCGUGGAUCAGAAUGCCACGGUGAAUACGUUCCCGGGCCUUGUACACACCGCCCGUCACACCAUGGGAGUGGGUUGCAAAAGAAGUAGGUAGCUUAACCUUCGGGAGGGCGCUUACCACUUUGUGAUUCAUGACUGGGGUGAAGUCGUAACAAGGUAACCGUAGGGGAACCUGCGGUUGGAUCACCU